rnacentral:rRNA from 1 species
AGACGUCUACAUUAGAUACCCCUGUACGUCCCAGCCGUAAACUAUGCGCGUUAGGUGUAUCGGUGACCACGAGUCACCGAGGUGCCGAAGGGAAACCGUGAAACGUGCCGCCGUGGGAAGUACGGUCGCAAGGCUAGAAACUUAAAGGAAUUGGCGGGGAGCACCACAACGGGUGGAGCCUGCGGUUUAAUUGGACUCAACGCCGGGAAGCUCACCGGAUAAGACAGCGGAAUGAUUGCCGGGCUGAAGACUCUGCAUGACUAGCUG